AUACUUACUGUUGAUUGGUUCUCGGCCAAAGUAGGUGGUUUCCGGAGAGGCAAGUAGCCUUGUGGGUUACAGCGUUGGGCCGGUAAACGACAUCAAAUCCCCGGGCUGACAAGCCCUCACCGGCACCCUGGGUGAUCCAGGAGAAGACAAGGGAGCUUCAGUGGACCCUCCUGAUGGGCGAGCAGGACAUACAGGAGGAGGAGGAGUGGUAUGGGGACGAGAUACCUUGUAACUGGAGAUUCUUUCAAAAUGAUUGCCUACAGUUCCCGUGUCGGGCUCUGCAGGGUUGGGUGACCAGGGCCAGGGCAACAUCAGACACUACACUAUGCACAACCAAAGGCUCUUCUAAGAGGGUGCUGUUCCCUGGCAACACCAGGCACUACACUAUGCACAACCAAAGGCUCUUCUAAGAGGGUGCUGUUCCCUGGCAACACCAGACACUACACUAUGCACAACCAAAUGCUCUUCUAAGAGGGUGCUGUUCCCUGGCAACACCAUACACUACACUAUGCACAACCAAAGGCUCUUCUAAGAGGGUGCUGUUCCCUGGCAACACCAUACACUACACUAUGCACAACCAAAGGCUAUUCUUAGAGGGUGCUGUUCCCUGGCAACACCAUAGACUACACUAUGCACAACCAAAGAUUCUUCUAUUUAAAAAAAAAAAAAAUUGGACUUAAAGCUCAAAGUUUGUGGACCAGAAAUGGAUAGAAGAAGAAUAUUAAUAUACCUCUGUUGCACUUGACUAUGUUCUUGCCUAUUAGUUGAACUGUACUGUAUUGUAUUCUUCCCCUGCAAUUUUCUGAAUAAAAAUGUCAAUUUCAA